UCGGGAAUUUUGGGCAAUGGGGGAAACCCUGACCCAGCAACGCCGCGUGAAGGAUGAAGUAUUUCGGUAUGUAAACUUCGAAAGAAUAGGAAGAAUAAAUGACGGUACUAUUUAUAAGGUCCGGCUAACUACGUGCCAGCAGCCGCGGUAAUACGUAGGGACCAAGCGUUGUUCGGAUUUACUGGGCGUAAAGGGCGCGUAGGCGGCAUGACAAGUCACUUGUGAAAUCUCUGGGCUUAACCCAGAACGGCCAAGUGAUACUGUCGCGCUAGAGUGCAGAAGGGGCAAUCGGAAUUCUUGGUGUAGCGGUGAAAUGCGUAGAUAUCAAGAGGAACACCUGAGGUGAAGACGGGUUGCUGGGCUGACACUGACGCUGAGGCGCGAAAGCAAGGGGAUCAAACAGGAUUAGAUACCCACGUAGUCCCUGAGCGGGCUGGCAAGGCGCAU
rnacentral:rRNA from 1 species